rnacentral:rRNA from 1 species
UACGUAGGCAGCGAGCGUUGUUCGGAGUUACUGGGCGUAAAGGGUGUGUAGGCGGUUGUUUAAGUUUGGUGUGAAAUCUCCCGGCUCAACUGGGAGGGUGCGCCGAAGACUGGAAGGCUUGAGUAUGGGAGAGGUAAGCGGAAUUCCUGGUGUAGCGGUGAAAUGCGUAGAUAUCAGGAGGAACACCUGCGGUGUAGACGGCUUACUGGACCAUCACUGACGCUGAGGCACGAAAGCGUGGGUAGCAAACAGG